rnacentral:lncRNA from 1 species
GACACUGUUCCCCAUGGAUGUUUGUCUUUUUGGAUCAUUGUUUUCUUGAGUACGAGUGUUUAAAGAGGUAAUAUUUUUGUCCUGUAUAUACAUGACACAAAAGGGAAACAAAUCCCUUAAAGGCUUGUUUAGCGGCAUACCAAUCAACCGCAAUCCACAUGGGUUUGGACUUUGGAGGCAUUGAGUUGGAUAAUUAACUAUUUAUCCACCAAAACAAGCCGUAACAGAUAGCAACAUGAAAUAUCAAUUAAUCAGAAUUUGACAAUGCUAAUAGGAAUGAGUUAUAUAUUAAUUAAACUUCUAUGCAACUUGAAAUCUUGAUUAAUCAACGACAGUCUUGUUUUUCUUUUUUUUUAUUUUAUGGUUUUAAUUUUGACCAAACAGGGCAUGGGGAUUCACAGAGAUGGUUGUUUCCCACCGCCUCAGGAAAUGGUCUCAGUAGAUGAGCCAUUAACACAUUGUUUUUUUAUGUCCAGCAGUACUGUAAGCUGUGGGACUAAUUGUAGUUCUCUCGGUAGAUAUGAUGCAUCAUGUUACAUAAAACUGCAUAUUUGUUUGUCUGCUUCAUGUUCCAUAAAUUCCUUAAAUGGUUAAUAUGGAAUGCAAUGAAUUGAGCAAUGUUAGUGACUUAUUAAGAGAAAGAAAUGGGAUCAAAAUGGAUGGCCAAAUCAUUGUAUGGAGAGGGAGCCUCUGUAGUCACACUACGGGAAGCAGUGGCUUCCCCGAGUGUCAAAUGCUCUCGGGGAAGGCCCAGUUGCACUCGGGGAAGCCUUCCCCGAGUGCAACACUUGGGGAAGAGUGUCCGGGGUAUCUCUUCACCGGAAAGACGUCUUCCCCGAGAGCCAAAUACCGUGCACUCGGGGAAGGCUUUCCCGAGAGCCGUCCUAGCACUAGGGGAAGAGUUGACGCCGUUGGUG